ensembl:lncRNA
GGACAAACUGGAUUGCAUUGUGGAUUGCACAAUGGAUUGCACUGUGCUCUUGGAGCCUCCAGCAGAGAGGGGCUGUGAGAAUAAGUGCAAGGAAGGCUAUGGGUGCAUGAAGGGUCAACAGUGGGAACGCCAACAUUUAGUGGGAUAAACUAAGGGAGGAACAGAAGUCAGUAAAAGGACAGGAUAGCACAAAGUAGAAUAGAUUAAUGCAGAAGAACAAUUUCUAUAAGCAAAAAAGCCCACACCUUGACACAGAAGGGAUUACUUUUUAAUAUCAUCCUCGUUGCUUUUCUGGUAUUCUUGAUUUCUCCAGCUUCGAUCUGGGACGUGCAGGAGGUGGCUGCUGCCAUCACAGGAGUUCCUCCCCCAGACAACCCACACCGUAAACGUUAUUGCCCUAUAAAGAGCACUCCGCAGCUUGUCAGGGAUCCCCAAAGCCGGCAUUAGGAAAUCAGCAGCAGGCACCAUCCCCAUCCCCCAGCCUGCUCCGCCAUUCACUUCCAAUUAUGCUAAAUCAGGACUCUGAAUUUUGGGUGAGAGCCAAACUGCCAAUCCCAUAAUCAGUUAUGAACAACGUGGGCAACAUCUAUCUAAUCUGUAAAUGACCGGCUAGUCUGAGAGGCUCCUGUAACGAGGCUGGAACAGCCUCUGCCUGGGUAAUUAUUCACGUCUGGAAAGGGGGAAGAAAUCCCCUCUGGGAAGUGCUGGUUUAUAGGGCAUCACAACCUGGUGCAGCACAUUUCCUCAAGGGUAGGAAAAACUGUAGGAAAACGAGGGGAAAAAAAGGAGAUUUCAGGAUUGGAGUUGGGGUUUUGGUUGCUUUCAGGGACAAGAACUGUGACCACAGGGCUUGUGGGCAUCAUCAGGUGUGAGAUGAUCGCAGCAAUGCAGGUGCAGCAGCGGAGGGGUGAUGUUCCUUCUCCAGCCCCACGUGGGAGCAGCGUCUGGGGAAAACCAAAGCAAUGCCACUGCUUUGCUGGGUCUGAGCAUCCCUUGCACAGGUCCAAAGGCUCAGAAGAGAGGGAGUAAGCUUUAUGGGAACAGCUCACUUUUCCCUGCUAUCGGGGUGCUCUCUGGCACUGCACGCUCCCUGCAUGGGCACGCAGGAGGAACUUCCAGCCUUCAUCGCUCACCCUUCAGCACAGAGCUGAGCCUCCAUCUGCUCUGACGCCUUUCCCAUCUCCUGCAGCCCUCAGCAGCACAGGAGGAGAACCCUCCAGAGAACAGCUGAACCCAUCUGCCAUGGACACCUCUUCGGGCCAAGACUUCUGCAAGAAACUUGCUUCUGCAUGGACUGCAGAGAGCAGCAAAACGAGCACACAACUAACCCUUACAUGGCUGGUGAGGGCUUGCAGAAAGAUGCGGGAUCUGUCCACUUCAGCUCAAGUUCUCGAGGUCCUGCUAUGAAGUCCCUGUAACUCCUCUUCCAUCUUCCCUUGGCCCCAAGACACGGCCACCAGAAGCAGGG